AUUGAUCGCUGGCGGCAGGCCUAACACAUGCAAGUCGAACGAGUGGCGGACGGGUGAGUAAUGUCUGGGAAACUGCCUGAUGGAGGGGGAUAACUACUGGAAACGGUAUCUAAUACCGCAUACCAUCAGAUCUGCCCAGAUGGGAUUAGCUAGUUGGUGGUGUAACGGCGCACCAGGGCGACGAUCCCUAGCUGGUCUGAGAGGAUGACCAGCCACACUGAAACGGAGACACGGUCCAGACUCCUACGGGAGGCAGCAGUGGGGAAGAUUGCACAAUGGGCGCAAGCCUGAUGCAGCCAUGCCGCGUGUAUGAAGAAGGCGUUCGGGUUGUAAAGUACUUUCAGCGGGGAGGCGUUACACGCAGAAGAAGCACCGGCUAAAUCCGUGCCAGCAGCCGCGGUAAUAC
rnacentral:rRNA from 1 species